CCCUUAGAGUUUGAUCCUGGCUCAGGAUGAACGCUAGCGGCAGGCUUAAUACAUGCAAGUCGAGGGGCAGCAGGGGUGUAGCAAUACACUCGCUGGCGACCGGCAAACGGGUGCGGAACACGUACGCAACUUACCCAAAACUGGGGAAUAGCCCGGGGAAACCCGGAUUAAUACCUCGUAACAUAAUGGAGUGGCAUCACUUUAUUAUUAUAGCUCCGGCGGUUUUGGAUGGGCGUGCGCCUGAUUAGGUAGUUGGCGGGGUAACGGCCCACCAAGCCUGCGAUCAGUAACUGGUGUGAGAGCACGACCAGUCACACGGGCACUGAGACACGGGCCCGACUCCUACGGGAGGCAGCAGUAAGGAAUAUUGGUCAAUGGACGCAAGUCUGAACCAGCCAUGCCGCGUGAAGGAUGAAGGUCCUCUGGAUUGUAAACUUCUUUUAUAUGGGACGAAACCCCCCGAUUCCUCGGGGAUUGACGGUAUCAUAAGAAUAAGCACCGGCUAACUCCGUGCCAGCAGCCGCGGUAAUACGGAGGGUGCAAGCGUUAUCCGGAUUCACUGGGUUUAAAGGAUGC
rnacentral:rRNA from 1 species